rnacentral:rRNA from 1 species
UGGGGAAUAUUGCACAAUGGGCGCAAGCCUGAUGCAGCCAUGCCGCGUGUGUGAAGAAGGCCUUCGGGUUGUAAAGCACUUUCAGCGGGGAGGAAGGCGUUAAGGUUAAUAACCUUGGCGAUUGACGUUACCCGCAGAAGAAGCACCGGCUAACUCCGUGCCAGCAGCCGCGGUAAUACGGAGGGUGCAAGCGUUAAUCGGAAUUACUGGGCGUAAAGCGCACGCAGGCGGUUUGUUAAGUCAGAUGUGAAAUCCCCGGGCUCAACCUGGGAACUGCAUCUGAUACUGGCAAGCUUGAGUCUCGUAGAGGGGGGUAGAAUUCCAGGUGUAGCGAUGAAAUGCGUAGAGAUCUGGAGGAAUACCGGUGGCGAAGGCGGCCCCCUGGACGAAGACUGACGCUCAGGUGCGAAAGCGUGGGGAGCAAACAGG